ensembl:lncRNA
AUGGUCUUCAUGGUGAGGCAAAUGCAGGAAAAAUGCCUUGAGCAGAACCUGAGUCUCUACAUUGUCUUCAUAGACCUGACAAAGGCGUUCGACACAGUGAACAGGGACGCAUUGUGGGUGAUCCUCAGCAAGCUCGGUUGCCCAGCAAAAUUCGUCAAACUGAUCCAGCUCUUUCAUGUCGACAUGACAGGGGAAGUCCUAUCUGAUGGAGAGACUUCCGAUCACUUCAGCAUCUCCAAUGGCGUGAAACAAGGCUGUGUCCUUGCUCCAGUACUAUUCAACCUAUUUUUCACCCAAGUCUUACGGCAUGCUGUGAUGGAUCUAGACCUGGGCAUCUACAUCAAAUACCGACUGGAUGGCUCACUAUUUGACCUUCGCCGCCUGACUGCAAAAACAAAGACAACAGAGAGACUCAUCCUGGAAGCUCUCUUUGCAGAUGACUGUGCUCUCAUGGCCCACCAAGAAAAUCAUCUUCAAACCAUUGUGGACAGGUUCUCCACUGCAACAAAACUGUUUGGCCUGACUAUCAGCCUCAGCAAAACAGAGGUGCUGUUCCAACCUGCACCAGGGAGGCCAACUAACCAGCCGUGCAUUACAAUCGAUGGCACGCAGCUUUCUUACGUCAACACUUUCAAGUACCUGGGCAGCACCAUCGCCAACGACGGGUCCCUAGACCACGAGAUUAAUGCCAGGAUCCAAAAGGCCAGCCAGGCACUCGGGCGUCUGCGCUGCAAAGUCCUCCAACACAGAGGUGUAAGCACUAUGACAAAGCUCAAAGUGUAUAACGCAGUGAUCCUCAGCUCGCUCCUGUACAGUUGUGAGACAUGGACACUGUACCGGAAGCACAUGAAACAGUUGGAGCAAUUCCACCAACGCUCCCUCCGGUCAAUCAUGAGGAUCCGAUGGCAGGACCGAAUCACCAAUCAGGAAGUCCUCGACAGAGCCAACUCCACCAGCAUCGAAGUCCUGGUCCUCAAAACCCAGCUACGAUGGUCUGGACACGUCAUCCGCAUGGACCCACAGCGAAUACCAAGACAGGUAUUCUAUGGUGAACUGUCAGCUGGACUCAGGAAACAAGGCCGACCAAAGAAAAGAUUCAAGGAUCAGCUAAAGUCCAACUUGAAGUGGGCUGGCAUCACACCAAAGCACCUAGAACUCGCUGCCUCUGUCAGAAGCAGCUGGCGAACCCACAUUAACCAUGCCGCCUCCACCUUUGAAGAUGAGUGA